rnacentral:rRNA from 1 species
AGUCGAGCGGACAGAUGGGAGCUUGCUCCCUGAUGUUAGCGGCGGACGGGUGAGUAACACGUGGGUAACCUGCCUGUAAGACUGGGAUAACUCCGGGAAACCGGGGCUAAUACCGGAUGCUUGAUUGAACCGCAUGGUUCAAUUAUAAAAGGUGGCUUUUAGCUACCACUUACAGAUGGACCCGCGGCGCAUUAGCUAGUUGGUGAGGUAACGGCUCACCAAGGCGACGAUGCGUAGCCGACCUGAGAGGGUGAUCGGCCACACUGGGACUGAGACACGGCCCAGACUCCUACGGGAGGCAGCAGUAGGGAAUCUUCCGCAAUGGACGAAAGUCUGACGGAGCAACGCCGCGUGAGUGAUGAAGGUUUUCGGAUCGUAAAACUCUGUUGUUAGGGAAGAACAAGUACCGUUCGAAUAGGGCGGUACCUUGACGGUACCUAACCAGAAAGCCACGGCUAACUACGUGCCAGCAGCCGCGGUAAUACGUAGGUGGCAAGCGUUGUCCGGAAUUAUUGGGCGUAAAGCGCGCGCAGGCGGUUUCUUAAGUCUGAUGUGAAAGCCCCCGGCUCAACCGGGGAGGGUCAUUGGAAACUGGGGAACUUGAGUGCAGAAGAGGAGAGUGGAAUUCCACGUGUAGCGGUGAAAUGCGUAGAGAUGUGGAGGAACACCAGUGGCGAAGGCGACUCUCUGGUCUGUAACUGACGCUGAGGCGCGAAAGCGUGGGGAGCGAACAGGAUUAGAUACCCUGGUAGUCCACGCCGUAAACGAUGAGUGCUAAGUGUUAGAGGGUUUCCGCCCU